rnacentral:rRNA from 1 species
CCUACGGGUGGCAGCAGUGGGGGAUAUUGCACAAUGGGGGAAACCCUGAUGCAGCGACGCCGCGUGUGGGAAGACGGUCUUCUGGAUUGUAAACCACUGUCCCCAGGGACGAAAAUGACGGUACCUGGGGAGGAAGCUCCGGCUAACUACGUGCCAGCAGCCGCGGUAAUACGUAGGGAGCAAGCGUUGUCCGGAAGUACUGGGUGAAAAGGGAGCGUAGGCGGGGAUGCAAGUUGGGUGUCAAAACUACCGGCUCAACCGAUAGUCGCACUCAAAACUGCAACUCUUGAGUGAAGUAGAGGCAGGCGGAAUUCCUAGUUUAGCGGUGAAAUGCGUAGAUAUUAGGAGGAACACCAGUGGCGAAGGCGGCCUGCUGGGCUUUUACUGACGCUGAGGCUCGAAAGUGUGGGGAGCAAACAGGAUUAGAUACCCCAGUAGUC